GAUGAACGCUGGCGGCGUGCCUAAUACAUGCAAGUCGAGCGAACGGACGAGAAGCUUGCUUCUCUGAUGUUAGAGGCGGACGGGUGAGUAACACGUGGAUAACCUACCUAUAAGACUGGGAUAACUUCGGGAAACCGGAGCUAAUACCGGAUAAUAUUUUGAACCGCAUGGUUCAAAAGUGAAAGACGGUCUUGCUGUCACUUAUAGAUGGAUACGCGCUGCAUUAGCUAGUUGGUAAGGUAACGGCUUACCAAGGCAACGAUGCAUAGCCGACCUGAGAGGGUGAUCGGCCACACUGUAACUGAGACACGGUCCAGACUCCUACGGGAGGCAGCAGUAGGGAAUCUUCCGCAAUGGGCGAAAGCCUGACGGUGCAACGCCGCGUGAGUGAUGAAGGUCUUAGGAUCGUUAAACUCUGUUAGUAGGAAAGAUCAUAUGUGUAAGUAACUGUGCACAUCUUGACGGUACCUAAUCAGAAAGCCACGGCUAACUACGUG
rnacentral:rRNA from 1 species